GAUGAACGCUGGCGGCGUGCCUAAUACAUGCAAGUCGAGCGAACAGACGAGGAGCUUGCUCCUCUGACGUUAGCGGCGGACGGGUGAGUAACACGUGGAUAACCUACCUAUAAGACUGGGAUAACUUCGGGAAACCGGAGCUAAUACCGGAUAAUAUAUUGAACCGCAUGGUUCAAUAGUGAAAGACGGUUUUGCUGUCACUUAUAGAUGGAUCCGCGCCGCAUUAGCUAGUUGGUAAGGUAACGGCUUACCAAGGCGACGAUGCGUAGCCGACCUGAGAGGGUGAUCGGCAACACUGGAACUGAGACACGGUACAGACUCCUACGGGAGGCAGCAGUAGGGAAUCUUCCGCAAUGGGCGAAAGCCUGACGGAGCAAAGCCGCGUGAGUGAUGAAGGUCUUCGGAUCGUAAAACUAUGUUAGUAGGGAAGAACAAAUGUGUAAGUAACUAUGCACGUAUUGACGGUACCUAAUCAGAAAGCCACGGCUAACUACGUG
rnacentral:rRNA from 1 species